rnacentral:rRNA from 1 species
GACGAACGCUGGCGGCGUGCUUAACACAUGCAGGUCGAACGGAAAGGCCCUGCUUUUGUGGGGUGCUCGAGUGGCGAACGGGUGAGUAACACGUGAGUAACCUGCCCUUGACUUUGGGAUAACUUCAGGAAACUGGGGCUAAUACCGGAUAGGAGCUCCUGCUGCAUGGUGGGGGUUGGAAAGUUUCGGCGGUUGGGGAUGGACUCGCGGCUUAUCAGCUUGUUGGUGGGGUAGUGGCUUACCAAGGCUUUGACGGGUAGCCGGCCUGAGAGGGUGACCGGCCACAUUGGGACUGAGAUACGGCCCAGACUCCUACGGGAGGCAGAAGUGGGGAAUAUUGCACAAUGGGCGGAAGCCUGAUGCAGCAACGCCGCGUGCGGGAUGACGGCCUUCGGGUUGUAAACCGCUUUCGCCUGUGACGAAGCGUGAGUGACGGUAAUGGGUAAAGAAGCACCGGCUAACUACGUG